rnacentral:rRNA from 1 species
AAGAACGUUGGCGGCGUGGAUUAGGCAUGCAAGUCGCACGAGAAACUAAUUAGCUAGCUAAGAGGUGGACAGUGGCGCAAGGGAGAGUAACGCGUGGUUACUUGCCCUCGAGACCGGGAUAGUGUCGGGAAACUGGCAGUAAUACCGGAUAACAUCUUCGGAUCAAAUGGUGUGAUUCCGCUCGAGGAUAGGACCGCGUACUAUUAGCUUGUUGGUGAGGUAACGGCUCACCAAGGCUGCGAUGGUUACCGGGUGUGAGAGCAUGGCCCGGCUCACUGGGACUGAGACACUGCCCAGACACCUACGGGUGGCUGCAGUCGAGAAUCUUCGGCAAUGGACGAAAGUCUGACCGAGCGACGCCGCGUGCGGGAUGAAGGCCCUCGGGUUGUAAACCGCUGUCAGUAGUUAGGAAAUCCAUGAGGGUUAUCUCUCAUGGUUGACCGAUCU